rnacentral:misc_RNA from 1 species
AGUAAUUUUCUUUUCUUACAUUUUUAUUAAAGUUUAUCUCUUUGGUUGAAAUACACAAUAGGUUAUAACUAACGGUGUAUCGCCAAGGAAUAUGCACAUAUAACCUAAUCGCAUUCACUUUUUGUUUCACAUUAAAAUGAUACAAUUCUUUAUUUGGAUAAGUAUGUUUGUUUAUUAGUGAUACGAAUAUAACAAAUAUUCAUCGUAUAUCACAUAAUAUUUCAAUGACUAUAGUAACGUAGAUGCUUAACAUGUUUUGUUGCCGUAUAUAAGGCAUAAGAUUUUGUAUUUUCACGUACAUUUUAUUUGUUCCCUAUGCAUUUUUCUAGCUACAAUAAUCUUUCAAAAAAAAAAAAUGAACAAAAUUUGUUAAAAAGCACAAUGAAAUAUACAACAAACGAGGUUGAAAACAUCAAAAAUCUAAUCGAUAGUAAUUUUUUUUUAGCAUCAUAACAGUGAUGCAUGUAUGAUACAGUUCGGUCAUAAUAGGUACACAUAUUGGCAAACUACAUAAGUUCCAGAUUCAUAAAGGCUACUUUAUAUAAUUUUUAUCAUUUCCGUUCAUUAUUUACGUAUUGACCUCUGUCGGACAAAGUUAGUGAACAAAAAAUUCGCAACAUAAUCUUCGUACGAAAUUUACUUAAAUACUAAAAGCCAUUUACUUCAAUCUAUUGUGUAAAAAUUCUUACUAUAAAAACUAUUUAGGUUUUCCAAUGGAGCUAUUCCAUUGUUCAAUUCCAUUUAAAUAUGAAUGCAACUCUAGAUAAUUUGUUAAAAAAUUGAAUUAAUUAAAAAUUCAAAAAUAAGAAAGCCGAAGUAGCAGUAGGCUGGUUACGUAUGUCGCAGGACCGAUGGAUGAGGGAGCAGACGUGUCCGACGUGUAGGCCGCGUGUUGACAAAUGCAGUGUUGGACGCCCUCCGGCCCGCUCGAUCGACGAUCUACGUAAGGGUCCGGUGGAGGCUAGAUGAGGAUUACGGAGAACCGGGACGUUUGGUGCGAACUUGGGGAAGCCUAUUUUCGACAGUGGAUUGCGAUAGGCUGUAAAGCAAAUAAAAAGAGUAAAGUAAACUACAUUGUACACAUUUUCGUAAUAAGUUUUUGUUGUUAUCCAACUGAUAUUGUAAAUGCGAUAGUUUUAUGAGAAUGUAAAGAUGUUUAUUAUAUUUUUACGCAUAACAAUGGAAUUGAUUGAAAUGUAUCUUAGAGAUCCAGAAUAGCACAGGCUACUUUUUAUCUUAAAAAACCCUCGGUAUCGGAAAUUAUGUAGAUGAAACAGCAAAUCAUAGCUAGUAAUUAAAUAAACUAAAGUAAAACCUCUUUGUUAAAAUAAAAGCCAACAUAAUCAUUAUGUGAAUAAAUUAUUAUCUGGAUAA